CACCGCGGUUAUACGAGAGGCCCAAGUUGAAAGACCCCGGCGUAAAGAGUGGUUAAGCUAGAAUUUAUACUAAAGCCGAAUAUCCUCACGGCUGUUAUACGCACCCGAAGAUAAGAAGCUCAGCCACGAAGGUAGCUUUAUUUGUCUGAACCCACGAAAGCUGCGGCA
rnacentral:rRNA from 2 species